rnacentral:rRNA from 1 species
UACGGGGGGAGCAAGCGUUGUUCGGAUUUACUGGGCGUAAAGGGCGCGUAGGCGGUCAGCACAAGUCAGUUGUGAAAUCUCGGGGCUUAACUCCGAAACUGCAUUCGAUACUGCCGUGCUUGAGGACUGGAGAGGAGACUGGAAUUUACGGUGUAGCGGUGAAAUGCGUAGAUAUCGUAAGGAAGACCAGUGGCGAAGGCGGGUCUCUGGACAGUUCCUGACGCUGAGGCACGAAGGCCAGGGGAGCAAACGGG